UACGGGGGGGGUAAGCGUUGUUCGGAAUUACUGGGCGUAAAGGGCUCGUAGGCGGCCAACUAAGUCAGACGUGAAAUCCCUCAGCUUAACUGGGGAACUGCGUCCGAUACUGGCAGGCUUGAAUCCGGGAGAGGGAUGCGGAAUUCCAGGUGUAGCGGUGAAAUGCGUAGAUAUCUGGAGGAACACCGGUGGCGAAGGCGGCAUCCUGGACCGGCAUUGACGCUGAGGCGCGAAAGCCAGGGGAGCAAACGGG
rnacentral:rRNA from 1 species